GACAGAGGGGCAAGCGUUGCUCGGAAUCACUGGGCGUAAAGGGCGCGUAGGCGGGAUGGCAAGUUCAGUCGUGAAAUCUCUCGGCUCAACCGAGAAACGUCGGCUGAUACUGCCGUUCUUGAGGGAUGCAGAGGAGACUGGAAUUCCGGUGUAGCGGUGAAAUGUGUAGAGAUCGGGAGGAACACCAGAGGCGAAGGCGGCGACCUGGACAGGUACUGACACUCAACUACGAAAGCGUGGGGAGCAACAGG
rnacentral:rRNA from 1 species